AUAUAAAAUAAUAAUCAUAUAAGUUUAUUAUCUCAAAAAUGCUUAUAAUUUGACCCUUUUUUUUUGUAAGAAAGAAUGGAAAUCAUGCUGAUAGUCCUGGAGAAGCCAUAUUUGGACAGGUACUAAAAACGACUCUUGGUGAUACAGUGGACGAAGUGGUAAUGAAGUUUAAAUAAAUGAACUUGGAUAGGCACGACAAGAGCUGUGGCGAUUGAGCUAAAGUACAGGGAAAAAGAGAAAGACAGAACCCAGCUUGCACUGAGUGCCAGUUGCCUUUACGCUGAAAGCAGAGACAAAGAUAGUGAGUGUUUCUUGUGGAUUAGAUGUGGGCUCAGCAGAAGACAGCCAACCUGGAGCCAUUUCAAAUUUCACUCAAGAGUCCUACUCAAAAAGAUGAAGUGACCCCAACAAAGGGCUGGUUCACCUGACUCCCACUGCUGUGGGAGGAAAUAGAAGUGACCAGCGGGAGGUAAAUGUUUCACCCACAGUACAGGCAGUUCAAUGUGGGAGCCUCCAAAGUACCCAUGAAACCACCCACGAGAAGAAUAGUCAGCUUUGAACAUCCACCAGAAAAAGACAGCUUUAAACAUUUGCCACAGCCAGAGGAAACCAAUACCAAAGUACCUUGGUGCCAGUCAGAUUUUUUUUUAAGGGUAAAAAUCUAUAUUUGGAAGUGUCCUUUUAAUGAUCGUCUAUGAAUACAACCUACUUCAGACAUGGAAACAGCCUCCAGACACACAAACAUGAUGAGGAGCAGAGAGAGAAUCCAAGCAGGCUGUCAGCAUGGAGCCCAAUGUUGGACUUGAUCCUGUGAACUGUGAGAACACGACCUGAGCCGAAAUCAAGAGUUGGAUGCCCAGCCAACUGAGCCAGCCUGGCACCCCUGGACUUUAUUUUUAUUAUAUACACAAUUUUUUAAGAUUUUUUAAAAUGUUCAUUUAUUUUUGAGAGAGAGAGAGAGACAGAGUGUGAGUGGGGGAGGCGCAGAAAGAGAGGGAGACACAGAAUCCAAAGGAGGCUCCAGGCUCCAAGCUCUCAGAACAUAGCCCGACACCGGGCUUGAACUCACGAGCCAUGAGAUCAUGACCUGAGCUGAAGUCGGACGCUCAACUGACUGAGCCACCCAGGUGCCCCUAUGUACACAAUUUUUAUUCAUUAAAGAAAACUUGGGUAAUACAAAAAAUUAGAAAGAAGGAGAAAUUAUAUAUGGGACAAUUUCUUAAUUCACUCUAGUGGCAACUGAUAACUGUGUUAUGUGCUGAGAAAAAUACAUCAAUGACAAGGACAUGGACUGUACCCUUUAGGAGAGAGACAUAAAUAAAAUACAUGUAUUUUUAAGACAGUGAAAGGUUAAGUUUGUCAAGCAUCUGCAGUAUUUCAGAAUUUUCCUGUUACCUUUAACUCACUCAUCUGGAGGUAGGCUCUGUUUACCGAGAGAUCACAUGAUCUCUGGGAGCCUGGGCUGUAUCGUGACUGAAUUUGAGGUCCAGUCUUCUUUAGAUUGCAUGUAUCUGCACUUCAUUCUUUAGAGGAGCAGCAGUUGGAAAGAAAUCUUUCUCCUUGUUACAUAGGAUGGGAGGAAGAGUGAUAAAAGGUACCCACUGAAGACAAAGAAACUACUUUAAGAUGGAGGUAGAAAGGGGACAUGGUUACCCAGUAUAUUAAUGACUCAUUCCACGUUUCACAAGAAGGUCAACCACCAAAGCAGAAUGUUUUUUUCUAAAGCUAUUUUGAAUAAAAUUUUGAAAAGGAGCGUUUUAACAAAAUAAAGUCUAGCCAAGAGUUUUACGAUUUUCAAUAGGUGUAGUAAGACACCUACUGAUCCUGUAUAAAUGUGCAGUCAAAAUCAAUUGACUUUUUGUGCUAUCAAUGGCAGACUUCCAUUGAUUUCAGAUAAUUAGAACUGUGUCUAAUAUUUUAAGUAAUUAUGCUGAGAAUGAUACAAAAGAAGUAAAGCUGUGAGAUCCUGUAUUUAUGAUCAUUUAACAUAGCCAAAAAAAAAAUGGAAGAAAAGUAUUUCGGUUCUUAAGAUAUUUGAGGCAACUGGACAUAAGGAAGAAACUGGAAGUUGUCUUAUUCUGGCUUUCUUCCACUGAUGCAGCAAAACCAGGCAGUUUCUAAUUCUCCCUUGAUCAUAUUUUUUAUAUACUUAUAUAUGUAUAUCAAACUCCUAACAAAAUCACCACUCCUUUAAUCUGUUGUUUUCAUUUAUCCAUCUGUCUAGCAUCCAUUCAUCCAGUAAAUAUUUAUUAUGUACCUACUACCAGGGAUAGCACUUUUUUGGACAGGGUAUUACCAAAUACCUCAGGUGAAGAAUAUUCACAUGUCACUGAGAUAUGAGUUUAUAUAAUAAAAUGAAGCUGCUACGGGAAACUUGGAGUUUAUUUACAAAAUAAAUGAGCUUCAAUUUAAGGAGCAAGUAGCACUCAGUUUUUUCAAAACUUAGGGUGGCUUGGUUGUUUGUUUUUAAAGAACACUCCUGGGGCAUCUGGGUGGCUCAGUCAGUUAAGCAUCUGACUUCGGCCCAGGUCAUGAUCUCAUGGUUCAUGAGUUCGAGCCCUGCGUCAGGCUCUGUGCUGACGGCUGAGAGCCUGGAGCCUGCUUCAGAUUCUGUG